CAACAUUCUGAUAAAAUAAAAAAACAAGUUGAAUAAGAAGAAGCAACUUAAAAGUUUUAUAUAAAAGAUACAAACCAAAAUUAAACAUUAACAAAUUAAAUAAUAAAUAAAAUUAAAUAAUUUGGUAAUCAUAUGUAAUAUACACAAAGCAUACAAAAGCCAACAAACUACAACUACUAAUACGAAUACUACCACUACUACAACAACAGCAACAAAAAUCAACAAUUACCAAAUAAAUACACUGCAAGAAAUAUUUGUUUUUUCUUUAAAGGUAAAAAACUACAAACUUAAGACAUCAAGAACUAAAUAAAUUGGCAGCAAAUUUAAAAAGAAAAAUUGUGAAGAAAACUGAAAAAGACUUCCUGCUUAAAGUUUUCUUUUUUUUCGUGAAAAAAAAGUAAAGAAAAUUAACAUUAACUUUGGUGGCUAUUUAUAAAACGCUUAUAAAACAUUUAAAACUGUCUACUACAACUUAGAAACGUGUUUAAAUU